rnacentral:lncRNA from 1 species
GACAGAUGAAUCAUUAAAAUUUUAUUUCUAUUUCCUCUUUUUAAAAAAUUGUCAAACUUUUAUUGCAAAAAAAAAUAUUAAGUGAAUGCAUUCAUCUUGAGGGGAAAAAAAAUCUUCCCAAUUAAGGCUGAAGUUCUUUCAGCUCACCACCCCCAUUCCUUGCAUCCUCAUUACGUCUGCUUAGGUGAUAUUUGUUAUCAUUUGGGGGCACAUCUUUGCAGACCUCUCCAGAGCAUUUAAUUUUGCACACACUGAGGACUGUUGGUAGACUUGUGAUAAACAGAUUACUCUAUAGCUUACCUCUAUCACUCAGUGGUCCAUCAGAAUGUAAUCCACAUUAGCCAUCUCUUCCUUUUUAGGGGCUGCAUUGUUUGAUUACAUUAGGCAGCUACACCACCUUUGAUUUGGACCAAAUAAAGUCUUCCUUUGCUUUCCCAUUUGUUAUACUUCCACAUCUCUUCUCAUGUGUAGGUUUUGACAUAUUAGCCGUGUCCCUGUCCUUAACCUCGAGAUGUGUGCUGUGCCCUGGGGAUCACACAGCGGUGGAGAGUGAGUGAUGGAUACAGGAUCGGCUCUGCCCACGGCCAGCUGGGUGUUUCUAGGCAGCUCAUUUCCUCUCCCUGGACCUUAUGUUUCUCAUCUGCACAACAGACUUGGAGCCCCUUCAAGCUGUUAGACUCUAACUUACGCAGUGUCACCAGGAUUGAUUAAUAGAAUGCAUUGUUAGUUCUCCUUCCACUGUGUGCUGGGGUAGGAAAAGAGGCAAUUCCCAGCUCAGAGCUCUUAGCUGAUACCACAGAGAACCCCUGAUUGGCUAGGAAAGUAUUGCCUCUGGAUUUCAAUCUUCUUUACUAUUGUUUGGUCAUUCAGUUUAAAUUCAUUUUAUUUUAUUUUAAAAAUUUAUAUUAUUAUUAUUAUUAUUAUUUGAUGGGAAUUGAACCCAAGGCUUCAUACCUGCUAGGCAACCUCUUUACCACUGAGCUACAUCCCUAGCCCUUGUUUUAUUUAUUUUGCUUUGUUUGCUUUGUUUAUUCUAAGCAAGGAUGUAUAGUUAUGGGGACAGAGAGUAUGAACCCUUGAGUUCUAUUUCCAGGUUUGUCUAAUUCCAGCUGUGUCUUCUUAGAUAAGUCACUUACCUUCCCUGGGGUUUCACCUGUUAAGAUCUUGAUUCCAAAUUAGCCAGGUAUCCACCAAAAUAACAUGUAAAAGUUGAAAAC